UAACCUGCCCAAGAGAUCGGGAUAACACCUGGAAACAGAUGCUAAUACCGGAUAACAACAGAUGAUGCCUAUCAACUGUUUAAAAGAUGGUUCUGCUAUCACUCUUGGAUGGACCUGCGGUGCAUUAGCUAGUUGGUAGGGUAACGGCCUACCAAGGCGAUGAUGCAUAGCCGAGUUGAGAGACUGAUCGGCCACAUUGGGACUGANACACGGCCCAAACUCCUACGGGAGGCAGCAGGC
rnacentral:rRNA from 1 species